UACGUAGGGGGCGAGCGUUGUCCGGAUUUAUUGGGCGUAAAGAGCGUGUAGGCGGUUCGGUAGGUCCGUUGUGAAAACUCGAGGCUCAACCUCGAGACGCCGAUGGAAACCAUCGAACUAGAGUCCGGAAGAGGAGAGUGGAAUUCCUGGUGUAGCGGUGAAAUGCGCAGAUAUCAGGAAGAACACCCGUGGCUAAGGCGGCUCUCUAGUACGGUACUGACGCUGAGACGCGAAAGCGUGGGGAGCGAACAGG
rnacentral:rRNA from 1 species